rnacentral:rRNA from 1 species
UACGUAGGGCGCAAGCGUUGUCCGGAAUUAUUGGGCGUAAAGAGCUCGUAGGCGGUCCGUUACGUCGGGAGUGAAACCCGGGGCUCAACCCCGGGCUUGCUUUCGAUACGGGCAGACUAGAGUAUGGCAGGGAGACUGGAAUUCCUGGUGUAGCGGUGAAAUGCGCAGAUAUCAGGAGGAACACCGGUGGCGAAGGCGGGUCUCUGGGCCAUUACUGACGCUGAGGAGCGAAGCGUGGGAGCAACAGG